rnacentral:rRNA from 1 species
CGGCGUGCCUAACACAUGCAAGUCGAGCGGGAAGCCUAAGGCCCCUUUGGGGUACGGCUUCCCAGCGGCAAACGGGUGAGUACACGUGGGUGACCUGCCCCGAAGAGGGGGAUAACCCUGGGAAACUGGGCUAAUACCCCAUGUGCUUCGUGGGGUUAGAGGACCACGAAGUAAAGGGUGUGGUUACCGAAAGGCGCCACGCCGCUUCGGGAGGGGCCCGCGGCCCAUCAGGUAGUUGGGGGGUAAUGGCCUACCAAGCCUAUGACGGGUAGCCGGCCUGAGAGGGUGUCCGGCACACGGGGACUGAGACACGGCCCCGACUCCUACGGGAGGCAGCAGUGGGGAAUCUUGGCAAUGGGCGAAAGCCUGACCCAGCGACGCCGCGUGGGGGAAGAAGCCCUGCGGGGUGUAACCCCUUUUCGGGGGGAAGAGGAAGGACAGUACCCCCGGAAUAAGGGCCGGCUAACACGUGCCAGCAGCCGCGGUAAAACGUAGGGCCCGAGCGUUACCCGGAUUCACUGGGCUAAAGCGCACGUAGGCGGCUCAGUAAGUCGGGCGUGAAAUCUCCCGGCUCAACCGGGGGGGCCGUCCGAUACUGCUGGGCUUGAGGGCGGGAGAGGGAGGUGGAAUUCCCGGUGAGCGGUGAAAUGCGUAGAUAUCGGGAGGAACACCAGUGGGGAAGCCGGCCUCCUGCCCGUCCCUGACGCUGAGGUGCGAAAGCCAGGGGAGCGAACGGGAUUAGAUACCCCGGUGUCCUGGCUGUAAACGGUGGGUGCUAGGUGUGGGCGGCGUUGACCCCGUCCGUGCCGAGGUAACCCGUUAAGCACCCCGCCUGGGGACUACGGCCGCAAGGCUAAAACUCAAAUAAUUGACGGGGAAGGGCG